rnacentral:piRNA from 1 species
UCCCCAUGAAGGUUGGCCUCCAUGAGAGAG